rnacentral:rRNA from 1 species
AUUGAACGCUGGCAGCAGGCUUAACACAUGCAAGUCGAGCGGGGGAAGGUAGCUUGCUACCGGACCUAGCGGCGGACGGGUGAGUAAUGCUUAGGAAUCUGCCUAUUAGUGGGGGACAACAUCUCGAAAGGGAUGCUAAUACCGCAUACGUCCUACGGGAGAAAGCAGGGGAUCUUCGGACCUUGCGCUAAUAGAUGAGCCUAAGUCGGAUUAGCUAGUUGGUGGGGUAAAGGCCUACCAAGGCGACGAUCUGUAGCGGGUCUGAGAGGAUGGUCCGCCACACUGGGACUGAGACACGGCCCAGACUCCUACGGGAGGCAGCAGUGGGGAAUAUUGGACAAUGGGGGGAACCCUGAUCCAGCCAUGCCGCGUGUGUGAAGAAGGCCUUAUGGUUGUAAAGCACUUUAAGCGAGGAGGAGGCUACUUUAGUUAAUACCUAGAGAUAGUGGACGUUACUCGCAGAAUAAGCACCGGCUAACUCUGUGCCAGCCGCCGCAGUAA